CCUACGGGAGGCAGCAGUGGGGAAUAUUGGACAAUGGGGGGAACCCUGAUCCAGCGACGCCGCGUGAGUGAAGAAGUAUCUCGGUAUGUAAAGCUCUAUCAGCAGGGAAGAAAGAAAUGACGGUACCUGACUAAGAAGCCCCGGCUAACUACGUGCCAGCAGACGCGGUGAUACGUAGGGGGCAAGCGUUAUCCGGAUUUACUGGGUGUCAAGGGAGCGUAGACGGCUGAGCAAAUCUGAAGUGAAAGGCGGGGGGCCAACCCCCGGACCGCCGUGGAAACUGUCUAGCUAGAGUGCGGGAGAGGUAAGUGGAAUGCGUAGUGUAGCGGUGAAAUGCGUAGAUAUUGGGAAGAACACCAGUUGCGAAGGCAGCCUACUGGACUCUGACUGACGUUGAGGCUCGAAAGCGUGGGGAGCGAACAGGAUUAGAUACCCUUGUAGUC
rnacentral:rRNA from 1 species